rnacentral:lncRNA from 1 species
UACUUGCUCUUGAGAUGGAUCAUGAGGCUGGGAAUGCAGCAACUGCUGAUAAAAUGUCAAUUGAAGAAAACAACUUAAAUGUAGAGGGUGCUAUAAAAUCUCAAACUGUAACAAAUUCUGGCGCUGAUGUCCCUCCUCCAGUUGAAGAAAACACCUUUAAUGUAGAGGGUGCUAUAAAAUCUCAAGCUGUAACAAAUUCUGGUGCUGAUGUCCCUCCUUCAAUUGGAGAUCAAACUGUAGAAACUUGUAUUUCUCAUACGAGCAAUGCCGAAACGAAUCAAGCCAAUGAGUACCAGGAUUCCUCGAAGGCAGAUGAGGGUCUUGUUUUCCGUGCACAUGCUGCAGAAAUGAAGGUUGCCGAUGAACCAGAGAAGGGUGAAAUAGAAACUUGUAUUUCUCAUGCCAGCAAUGCGGAGACAAAUCAAGCCAAUGAGUACCAGGAUACCUCGAAGGCAGAUGAGGGUCUUGUUUUCUGUGCGGAUGCUGCAGAAAUGAAGGUCGCCGAUGAACAAGAGAAGGG